rnacentral:rRNA from 1 species
GAUGAACGCUGGCGGCGUGCCUAAUACAUGCCAGUCGAGCGAACAGACGAGGAGCUUGCUCCUCUGACGUUAGCGGCGGACGGGUGAGUAACACGUGGAUAACCUACCUAUAAGACUGGGAUAACUUCGGGAAACCGGAGCUAAUACCGGAUAAUAUAUUGAACCGCAUGGUUCAAUAGAGAAAGACGGUUUUGCUGUCACUUAUAGAUGGAUCCGCGCCGCAUUAGCUAGUUGGUAAGGUAACGGCUUACCAAGGCGACGAUGCGUAGCCGACCUGAGAGGGUGAUCGGCCACACUGGAACUGAGACACGGUCCAGACUCCUACGGGAGGCAGCAGUAGGGAAUCUUCCGCAAUGGGCGAAAGCCUGACGGAGCAACGCCGCGUGAGUGAUGAAGGUCUUCGGAUCGUAAAACUCUGUUAUUAGGGAAGAACAAAUGUGUAAGUAACUAUGCACGUCUUGACGGUACCUAAUCAGAAAGCCACGGCUAACUACGUG